UUUCAACUGUUUUAUUCUGCUGAAGGUAAACCUAGUUUGGGUUUAGGAUUCUUGGAGUCGUUGGAGCCGCCGCUGCCACCUCCUCCUCCCUCCAUCGAAGUCCUAUCCUCGGAGAUUUCUUCUUCUGUGAAAUACACUGUGGAGCCUGUCAAUUUAGGUAGCCUUACUUUACUCAAGGGAAGGGUGAGUACUAAUGAGGUUCUUGGAUUGCCUAACUCUGAUUUAGUCCCUGGAAUCUAUGAAGGGGGACUUAAGCUAUGGGAAGGCUCAUUAGACCUUGUUAAAGCUCUGCAAUCUGAGAUUCAAAAUGACCAUCUAUCACUUGGGGAAAA